rnacentral:rRNA from 1 species
ACUCCUACGGGAGGCAGCAGUGGGGAAUAUUGGACAAUGGGCGAAAGCCUGAUCCAGCCAUGCCGCGUGUGUGAAGAAGGUCUUCGGAUUGUAAAGCACUUUAAGUUGGGAGGAAGGGUAGUAACCUAAUACGUUGCUACUUUGACGUUACCGACAGAAUAAGCACCGGCUAACUUCGUGCCAGCAGCCGCGGUAAU